rnacentral:rRNA from 1 species
GGAUACGACCGUACCGCAAACCGACACUGGUGCGCGAGAUGAGUAUUCUAAGGCGCUUGAGAGAACUCAGGAGAAGGAACUCGGCAAAUUGACACCGUAACUUCGGAAGAAGGUGUGCCCUAUUAGUGUGUAGUGAACAACGAAGCAUGAAUGGGUUGCAAAAAAUCGGUGGCUGCGACUGUUUAUUAAAAACACAGCACUCUGCAAACACGAAAGUGGACGUAUAGGGUGUGACGCCUGCCCGGUGCUGGAAGAUUAAAUGAUGGGGUGCAAGCUCUUGAUUGAAGUCCCAGUAAACGGCGGCCGUAACAAUAACGGUCCUAAGGUAGCGAAAUUCCUUGUCGGGUAAGUUCCGACCUGCACGAAUGGCGUAACGAUGGCCACACUGUCUCCUCCUGAGACUCAGCGAAGUUGAAAUGUUUGUGAUGAUGCAAUCUCCCCGCGGAAAGACGGAAAGACCCCAUGAACCUUUACUGUAGCUUUGUAUUGGACUUUGAACAGAUCUGUGUAGGAUAGGUGGGAGGCUUUGAAGCAGGGUCGCUAGAUCUUGUGGAGCCAACGUUGAAAUACCACCCUGGUGUGUUUGAGGUUCUAACCUAGGUCCAUUAUCUGGAUCGGGGACAGUGCAUGGUAGGCAGUUUGACUGGGGCGGUCUCCUCCCAAAGCGUAACGGAGGAGUUCGAAGGUACGCUAGUUACGGUCGGACAUCGUGACGAUAGUGCAAUGGCAUAAGCGUGCUUAACUGCGAGACUGACAAGUCGAGCAGAUGCGAAAGCAGGACAUAGUGAUCCGGUGGUUCUGUAUGGAAGGGCCAUCGCUCAACGGAUAAAAGGUACUCUGGGGAUAACAGGCUGAUACCGCCCAAGAGUUCAUAUCGACGGCGGUGUUUGGCACCUCGAUGUCGGCUCAUCUCAUCCUGGGGCUGUAGCCGGUCCCAAGGGUAUGGCUGUUCGCCAUUUAAAGAGGUACGUGAGCUGGGUUUAAAACGUCGUGAGACAGUUUGGUCCCUAUCUUCCGUGGGCGCUGCAGAUUUGAGGAAGCCUGCUCCUAGUACGAGAGGACCGGAGUGGACACACCUCUGGUGUAUCGGUUGUCACGCCAGUGGCAUUGCCGAGUAGCUAAGUGUGGAAGAGAUAACCGCUGAAAGCAUCUAAGCGGGAAACUCGUUUCAAGAUGAGAUCUGCCGGGGCCUUGAGCCCCCUAAAGAGUCGUUCAAGACCAGGACGUUGAUAGGUCAGGUGUGGAAGCGUAAAAA